UUUCGGGAUCUACUGUCUACUC
rnacentral:piRNA from 1 species